CUGAGCCAAGUUAAACCUCUGCUGCUUUAAACUCAGAGCCAAGAACCCCCUCUACACGCUGAAAAAAGAUGAUGUGUGGGGAUGCACACAAGGAAGAAGAAGCAGAAAGACCCAAAGGAGCUUCACCUGGCUGAAGAAUAAAUAUGAGGAAGAAAUACAACAACUGUAAAGCAAAGUUUAUGCGCAUGCAGCAAUAAUGAGGCCAUCACAGUGACAUAACCAGAAGAAGACCA